ACAAGUUAUUAAGAGCAACGGGCGGAUGCCUUGGCGCUGAAGGCGAUGAAAGACGUGAUAAGCUGCGAUAAGCCUCGGGGAGGAGCUAAAUAUCCUAUGAUCCGUGGAUCUCUGAAUGGGGCAACCUACUGGAAGCAGUUCCAGUACCUCAAUUGAGGAGCUGACCUGGGGAAGUGAAACAUCUCAGUACCCAGAGGAAAAGAAAUCAAACGAGACUCCCAAAGUAGCGGCGAGCGAAAUGGGAAGAGGCCAAACCGUGCAGUUUCGACUGUGCGGGGUUGUAGGGCCGCCAUACGUGAUCUCGGAGUAGGCAGGAGAAGCCGGCUGGAAAGCCGCACCACAGCGGGUGAUAGUCCCGUAUCCGAAACCGAAAAGAGCACAGGCGGUACCUGAGUACUGCGAGGCACGUGAAACCUCGUGGGAAUCCGGGAGGACCAUCUUCCAAGCCUAAGUACGAUCCAGCGACCGAUAGUGAACCAGUACCGUGAGGGAAAGGUGAAAAGAACCCCUGUCAGGGGAGUGAAAUAGAAUCUGAAACCUGUUGCUUACAAGCUGUGGGAGCAGUUUUGACGACUGUGACCAUGUGCCUUUUGCAUAAUGAGUCAGCGAGUUAAUCUGUUGUGCAAGGUUAAGCGAGAGCGGAGCCGAAGCGAAAGCGAGUCUGAACAGGGCGCACAGUACAGCGGAUUAGACCCGAAACCGGGUGAUCUAUCCAUGAGCAGGUUGAAGCAAGGGUAAAGCCUUGUGGAGGACCGAACCAGUAUCGGCUGAAAACGAUUUGGAUGACUUGUGGAUAGGGGUGAAAGGCCAAUCAAACCCGGUGAUAGCUGGUUCUCCCCGAAAUAUAUUGAGGUAUAGCCUCAGGGAUUGUUUAUCGGAGGUAAAGCACUGACAAGGCUAGGGGUCCUACCAGAUUACCAAACCUUAUCAAACUCUGAAUGCCGAAUAAAUGUACCCUGGGAGUCAGACGGCGGGUGCUAAGGUCCGUCGUCGAAAGGGUAAGAGCCCAGAUCGACAGCUAAGGCCUCCAAUUCCAUACUCAGUGGUGAAGGUGGUGGAGUUGUUUAGACAGCCAGGACGUUGGCUUAGAAGCAGCCAUCGUUUAAAGAAAGCGUAAUAGCUCACUGGUCUAAUGAUUCUGCGCCGAAAAUGUAACGGGGCUAAGUAUGGAGCCGAAGCUUCGGAUUUGUCUUAUGACAUCUGGUAGGGGAGCGUUCUCAGCGGGCUGAAGCUGCAGCGCAAGCUGUGGUGGACUGCUGAGAAGUGAUUAUGCUGACAUGAGUAACGAUAAAACAGGUGAAAAACCUGUUCGCCGAAAACCCAAGGUUUCCUGGGUAAAGUUAAUCUUCCCAGGGUUAGUCGGUCCCUAAGGAGAGGGCGAAAGCCGUAUCUGAUGGAAAACGGGUUAAUAUUCCCGUACUUGCAUGGAUGUGCGAUGGAGGGACGCAGCAAGAUAGGUGAUCCGGGUGUUGGAUGUCCCGGUGCAAGUGUGUAGGAGUGCGGAGCAGGCAAAUCCGUUCCGCUGAUCCGAGACACGAGUCCGAGCCGCAAGGCGGAAGUCAUUGAGUCUACACUGCCAAGAAAAGCUUCUAAGUUUAGUCCAUGUGAACCGUACUCGAAACCAACUCAGGUGGGUGGGAUGAAUAAUCCAAGGCGCUCGAGAGAAUUCUGGCUAAGGAACUCGGCAAAAUGACCCCGUAACUUCGGAAGAAGGGGUGCUCCUCAGUGUGAGUUUAUUUACUAUGCAAGCACGAGGGAGCCGCAGUGAAUUGGUGGUGGCGACUGUUUACUAAAAACAUAGGUCUGUGCGAAGUCGCAAGACGACGUAUACGGACUGACGCCUGCCCGGUGCCGGAAGGUUAAAAGGAGAGGUCAGCGCAAGCGAAGCCUUGAAUUGAAGCCCCGGUAAACGGCGGCCGUAACUAUAACGGUCCUAAGGUAGCGAAAUUCCUUGUCGGGUAAGUUC
rnacentral:rRNA from 1 species